rnacentral:rRNA from 1 species
AGUGAACGCUGGCGGCAUGCCUAAUACAUGCAAGUCGAGCGAACAGACGAUAAGCUUUCUCCUUUAACGUUGGCGGCGGACGGAUGAGUAAGACAUAGAUAGCAUACCAAUUAUACUGGGGUAACUUCGUGAGGAAGCUGCUAAUACCGCAUCAUAUAUUCAACCGGUUGAAUCAAUAGUGAUAGACACUUUGCGUGUCUGAUAUAGACGAUUCCGCGCCGCAUUAGCUAGUUGGUAAGGUAACGGCCUACCAAGGCUACGAUGCGUAGCCGACCUGAGAGGGUGAUCGGCCACACUGGAACUGAGACACGGUCCAGACUCCUACGGGAGGCAGCAGUAGGGAAUAUUCCGCAAUGGGCGAAAGCCUGACCGAGCAACGCCGCGUGAGUGAUGAAGGUCUUCGGAUCGUAAAACUCUGUUAUUAGGAAAGAACAACUGUGUAAGUAACUAUGCACGUUUUGACGGUACCUAAUCAGUAAGCCACGGCUAACUACGUG